rfam:Helianthus annuus linkage group 2, whole genome shotgun sequence.
CGCUGGAUGCAGCGGUUCAUCGAUCUGUUCCUUAAUCCCAAUGAUUGAGAGCGGUCGGGAACAAGAAUGGGUCGAUAAACCUCUGCAUCCAGC